GAUGAAGAACGCAGCGAAAUGCGAUAAGUAAUGUGAAUUGCAGAAUUCAGUGAAUCAUCGAGUCUUUGAACGCACAUUGCGCCCCCUGGUAUUCCGGGGGGCAUGCCUGUCCGAGCGUCAUUGCUGCCCUCAAGCACGGCUUGUGUGUUGGGCCGUCGUCCCCCUCCUAGGGGACGGGCCCGAAAGGCAGCGGCGGCACCGCGUCCGGUCCUCGAGCGUAUGGGGCUUCGUCACCCGCUCCGUAGGCCCGGUCGGCGCUUGCCGACGACCAUCAAUCUCUUUAUCCAGGUUGACCUCGGAUCAGGUAGGGAUACCCGCUGAACUUAAGCAUAUCAAUAAGCGGAGGA
rnacentral:misc_RNA from 1 species